AAUUUGAAAUCUGGCCCCUUCGGGGUCCGAGUUGUAAUUUGUAGAGAGUGCUUCGGGGGAGACCGCGGUCUAAGUCCAUUGGAACAUGGCGUCCCAGAGGGUGAGAAUCCCGUAUGUGACCGUGGCUCGAACCCAUGUGAAGCCUCUUCGACGAGUCGAGUUGUUUGGGAAUGCAGCUCAAAAUGGGUGGUAAAUUUCAUCUAAAGCUAAAUACGGGCUGGAGACCGAUAGCGCACAAGUAGAGUGAUCGAAAGAUGAAAAGCACUUUGGAAAGAGAGUCAAAAAGUACGUGAAAUUGUUGAAAGGGAAGCGCUGGCAACCAGACCUGCCCGUAGGCGAUCAGCCGCUGUUCUCAGCGAUGCACUCGCUCUGCGAUCAGGCCAGCAUCGGUUCCGGCGGUCGGAUAAAGGCCUUGGGAACGUACCUUCCCUUCGGGGGAGUCUUAUAGCCCUCGGUGCAAUGCGGCCAGCCGGGACCGAGGACCGCGCUUCGGCUAGGAUGCUGGCGUAAUGGUUGUC
rnacentral:rRNA from 1 species